ACAUGAAAUAGGGGACACCGAUAAAAUGAUUUAUAUUUUAUGAAAAAUAAUGUAUAAUUAUGCUAAAACAUUGCUUGCUAACAAGAUUAUACUUAGAACAAUAUGCAAAUGUGUUUUUUGUGUCAUUUUGCAUUCAAUUUGCAAAUUAAAAGUCCUGCUGAAAAAGACCAUUUUCAAGGGACAUGCCAAAAACCUUACCUUCAUCAGAAUAAAUGCAAUAGAGUAUGGGGGCGUGACGUCACGGCUCUAGCGCCGCGAUGGCUGAUGGGAAAAAUCGCCAUAUUGUGAGGCCACUUGUUCUGAAGCGCCGACGAAGUUUUAGUCAUGGGAAGAACCUGCUGUGUUGUUGGAUGUAAUGUCCGUUCACACGAUCGACGUGGGAGAAAAAUAGACAAUGGUCUUUCUUUUUAUUGUUUUCCGGCCUGGAAACAAAAUUAAGGGAGUCAUGUGUCUGAUGUAACAAAGCAGAGAUGGAUGGCCUGGAUAUCCGCCAUAAGACGUACGGACAUACAUUUCACAGACAUCCCAAGAUCACUUAGUGUGUUCCAGGCAUUUUCAUUCAGGUAAACCAGCAUAUGAGAUGGACGAGUCUCAUCCAGACCGGGCUCCAACCCUGCACCUGGGUCACUGUGAAGUCACGGCCACAGUGUCAGAUCGGCAUGGCCGCAGACAACAUAGACACUGUUUGAGAGAAUCUGAGGGAGGAGGCCAAAGUGAACAAAACAACAUGAAUGAAGAUGAGAGAGAUGGAGUCCUAGAACAUGCAGAAGCUGCAGAAGAAGAGGAACAUGUGGAUCAUGCAGAGGCAGGAGCUGUGGAAGAGGAGGAAUAUAGUGAACAGACAGAAACAGACCAACCAGCAGCUAAGAGACUUAGAGUAGAAUGCCAGUUCUGUGAGCAAAGCAGUGCAGAACUAACCUGUGUUUUGCAGGAAAAUAGGGAGCUUAGGUCUGAGUUGAACAAGUUAAAGAUGGAUGAAGAAUUUUUCAGAGAUAAUACAGAGAAGGUACGAUAUUAUACAGGGCUUCCAUGUUUUGCAAUUUUGUUGUCAAUGUUUGCUACAGUUAAGCCCUUCCUGCCAGUUUCAAAGAAGCUGUCACAAUUUCAAAUGGUUUUACUUGCACUCAUUCGUCUAAGGCUCGAUCUUCCAAUCCAGUAUCUUUCACACAUAUUUAAUGUGUCACGUAGAACUCUUUCUGCUACCUUUGCCAACACCAUCGAUGUGCUGUAUGCACGCCUUUCUCCGUUGGUGUACUGACCUGAGAGACACUGUUUACAAGCCACAAUGCCACAUCAAUUUUUGGAAAGCGUGUUGCGAUUAUUGUCGACUGUUUUGAAAUACGUACAGAGAGGCCGUCAAAUUGAAUGGCGUGCGCACAAUCCUUUUCCCACUACAAAGGUACACACACAAUGAAAUACUUGAUCAGAAUUACACCCCAAGGCCUAAUUUAAUUUAUUUCAAAGGGAUGGGGGGGACAAGCAUCUGACAAGCACAUAACUGAGAAUUGUGGACUUCUUAACAAACUGUUGCCUGGUGAUUUAGUGUUAGCUGACCGAGUCUUUGAUAUUAAAGACAGUGUGGGAAUGAUGUGCGCGGAAGUUAAAACUCCUGCAAUCACUAAAAGCAGAUGUCAACUCGAUGCUAAGGAUGUGGAAGACACACGUGCUAUAGCACACCUUAGGAUACACGUAGAAAGGGUAAUAGGUAGCUUGUGCAAUAAAUACAAACUAUUACGUAACACAGUACCAAUUAGUUUGUUGCUUCCCUGUAAGGAUGAAGAAUUUACCCUUCUUGAUAAGAUUGUUAAUGUUUGCUGUAUUCUAGUUAACAUGUGUCCAAGUGUUGUUGUAAGGCCAGAUGAAACCGAAAAAUGUACUGUACAUGCUGAAUGGUAAAAAGACCCCAGGAGAAAUGAUGGUUUUCUAUUUGGUGUGUGUGAAUGUGUGGUACCCUCCUGAGAUUGAACUUUUUUUUGGGGGGUGUACCUGCCUUAGAAUGAACAUGGUAUGCUCUUUGUACAUGAAAUACUUCAGAUGACAAUUUGAUAAUUAAAAACUUAUAUUUUAAUAAAAAAAACACCAGCAAAUUGCAA